rfam:Oryza meridionalis cultivar OR44 (W2112) chromosome 8, whole genome shotgun sequence.
AAUAAACGCAGCCAUGAGUUUCCGUGUCCAACUUUAAUCAUCUAUUUUAUUUGAAAAAAAAUUAUGAUUAGUAUUUUUAUAGUUAUUAGAUCAUAAUAUAUGAAUAGUACUUUAUGUGUGACUUAUGUUUUUUAUUUUUUCAAAAAAAUUAAAUAAAACGAACGAUUAAAGUUGGACACGAAAACUCAUAGCUGCGUUUAUU